UACGAAGGGGGCUAGCGUUGCUCGGAAUCACUGGGCGUAAAGCGCACGUAGGCGGCUUUUAAGUCAGAGGUGAAAUCCUGGAGCUCAACUCCAGAACUGCCUUUGAUACUGGAGAGCUUGAGUCCGGGAGAGGUGAGUGGAACUGCGAGUGUAGAGGUGAAAUUCGUAGAUAUUCGCAAGAACACCAGUGGCGAAGGCGGCUCACUGGCCCGAUACUGACGCUGAGGCACGAAAGCGUGGGGAGCAAACAGG
rnacentral:rRNA from 1 species